GCGACAGGCUUAACACAUGCAAGUCGAGGGGCAGCACAGGUAGCAAUACCGGGUGGCGACCGGCGCACGGGUGAGUAACGCGUAUGCAACUUACCUAUCAGAGGGGGAUAACCCGGCGAAAGUCGGACUAAUACCGCAUGAAGCAGGGGCCCCGCAUGGGGAUAUUUGCUAAAGAUUCAUCGCUGAUAGAUAGGCAUGCGUUCCAUUAGGCAGUUGGCGGGGUAACGGCCCACCAAACCGACGAUGGAUAGGGGUUCUGAGAGGAAGGUCCCCCACAUUGGUACUGAGACACGGACCAAACUCCUACGGGAGGCAGCAGUGAGGAAUAUUGGUCAAUGGCCGAGAGGCUGAACCAGCCAAGUCGCGUGAGGGAUGAAGGUUCUAUGGAUCGUAAACCUCUUUUAUAAGGGAAUAAAGUGCGGGACGUGUCCCGUUUUGUAUGUACCUUAUGAAUAAGGAUCGGCUAACUCCGUGCCAGCAGCCGCGGUAAUACGGAGGAUCCGAGCGUUAUCCGGAUUUAUUGGGUUUAAAGGGUGCGUAGGCGGCCUUUUAAGUCAGCGGUGAAAGUCUGUGGCUCAACCAUAGAAUUGCCGUUGAAACUGGGGGGCUUGAGUAUGUUUGAGGCAGGCGGAAUGCGUGGUGUAGCGGUGAAAUGCAUAGAUAUCACGCAGAACCCCGAUUGCGAAGGCAGCCUGCCAAGCCAUGACUGACGCUGAUGCACGAAAGCGUGGGGAUCAAACAGGAUUAGAUACCCUGGUAGUCCACGCAGUAUACGAUGAUCACUAGCUGUUUGCGAUACACUGUAAGCGGCACAGCGAAAGCGUUAAGUGAUCCACCUGGGGAGUACGCCGGCAACGGUGAAACUCAAAGGAAUUGACGGGGGCCCGCACAAGCGGAGGAACAUGUGGUUUAAUUCGAUGAUACGCGAGGAACCUUACCCGGGUUUGAACGCAUUCGGACCGAGGUGGAAACACCUUUUCUAGCAAUAGCCGUUUGCGAGGUGCUGCAUGGUUGUCGUCAGCUCGUGCCGUGAGGUGUCGGCUUAAGUGCCAUAACGAGCGCAACCCUUGCCACUAGUUACUAACAGGUAAAGCUGAGGACUCUGGUGGGACUGCCAGCGUAAGCUGCGAGGAAGGCGGGGAUGACGUCAAAUCAGCACGGCCCUUACAUCCGGGGCGACACACGUGUUACAAUGGCGUGGACAAAGGGAAGCCACCUGGCGACAGGGAGCGAAUCCUCAAACCACGUCUCAGUUCGGAUCGGAGUCUGCAACCCGACUCCGUGAAGCUGGAUUCGCUAGUAAUCGCGCAUCAGCCAUGGCGCGGUGAAUACGUUCCCGGGCCUUGUACACACCGCCCGUCAAGCCAUGGGAUCCGUGGGUACCUGAAGUCGGUAACCCCGAGGAUCGGUCUAUGGUAAAACUCGUGACUGGGG
rnacentral:rRNA from 1 species